rnacentral:rRNA from 1 species
GUACACUCCUGCGGGAGGCAGCAGUGGGGAAUUUUGGACAAUGGGGGCAACCCUGAUCCAGCAAUGCCGCGUGAGUGAAGAAGGCCUUCGGGUUGUAAAGCUCUUUUGUCAGGGAAGAAACGGUGGUGGCGAAUAACUACUACUAAUGACGGUACCUGAAGAAUAAGAACCGGCUAACUACGUGCCAGCAGCCGCGGUAAUACGUAGGGUGCAAGCGUUAAUCGGAAUUACUGGGCGUAAAGCGUGCGCAGGCGGUUGUGUAAGUCAGAUGUGAAAUCCCCGGGCUCAACCUGGGAAUUGCAUUUGAGACUGCACGGCUAGAGUGUGUCAGAGGGGGGUAGAAUUCCACGUGUAGCAGUGAAAUGCGUAGAUAUGUGGAGGAAUACCGAUGGCGAAGGCAGCCCCCUGGGAUAACACUGACGCUCAUGCACGAAAGCGUGGGGAGCAAACAGGAUUAGAUACCCGUGUAGUCCC